UUAAUGUCUAUUAAUAUUCCCUUUAUUUCAAACACAGGACUAGAAAUCAAAGGACUUAUAUGCGUAAUAUUACUACAAGUGUAGCAACAAGAAAUAUAUAGAAUCCCCAUAAUGUGUUGCUGUUGUGACUGUUGCGAGUGCAUUACUGGAUUUUUCAAGAGCUUGGCAAAGAUCUUCUGUUGUUGUUGCGGGACUGCCUUCUUCGCUUGUUGUCCUUGCUGUGAGGAAGUUGGUUGCUGUGUCGCUCUUUGUGCUUGCUGUUGUUGUUGUUGUAGCUAACACGAGAUGGACUUCUAAAUUUAUUGAGCUAUAUAAUCAACACUACUGUAAAAACUUCAAUCCUUUUGUGAAACUUUUUCAUUGGUUAAUUUUUUCUCGCUUUUCCUAACCAAUAUCCAAAAUGUCAAAAACUUUUAUUUAAAAACUUCAUCUAAAUGUGAAUAUGGAUAGAAAUGACUUCCUACCCGCUUUUAGUCUUUUUUAUAAGUUUGUUUUUAUUGUUUAUACUGUAAUUUACAUCUUGUCAAACUCCAAAAGAAAAUUUUAACGAUGUCACUUUUCUUUUAAUAAAACCUUUGUUAUAUUUU